CCUACGGGUGGCAGCAGUGAGGAAUAUUGGUCAAUGGACGCAAGCCUGAACCAGCCAAGUCGCGUGCAGGAUGACGGCUCUAUGGUUUGUAAACUGCUUUUGUAUGAGGAUAAACUGAGAUACGUGUUCCUUUUUGUAUGUACCGUAUGAAUAAGCAUCGGCUAACUCCGUGCCAGCAGCCGCGGUAAUACGGAGGAUGCGAGCGUUAUCCGGAUUUAUUGGGUUUAAAGGGUGCGUAGGGGGUUAGUUAAGUUAGCGGUGAAAUUUUGUGGCGCAACCACAAAAUUGCCGUUGAAACUGGUUGACUUGAGUUUAGUUGAGGUAGGCGGAAUGUGUGGUGUAGCGGUGAAAUGCAUAGAGAUCAUGCAGAACUCCGAUUGCGAAGGCAGCUUACUAAACUAUAACUGACGCUGAAGCACGAAAGCGUGGGUAUCAAACAGGAUUAGAUACCCUGGUAGUC
rnacentral:rRNA from 1 species